rnacentral:sRNA from 1 species
GAAACUGUGCAACUGUCAGAAGAAAAGUUAUUCCACCUUAGAAUGUGCUCUUGUAUUUAAGACCCUUUUCAAGAAAUGAGUAUACAAACUGCACACUGACAAAUUCAACUAAUCAAAGACUCCACAGUGGAGCAUCAAAGAAGGCAGGAUGCUUUGUUCAGUCUUGAACGUGUUAACAUAAGGUUUAUUAUGUGUUACAGAAAACCUUUCUGGAGGUUAAGAAAAUCCAUCAGCUAUUCUAGAUUUGUUAACAAGAAACAAAAUUUUCAAAAAUUAUCGUUAAAAGGGAUGUGUCUAUAGGGAAAGACUGGUGUUCAAAUUCUGAAGCAAAUGCCCUGAGGCUCACAGAUUUAUUAUAGCGAAUCAGACAGGCGACAGUACAGGAGAAAAGUAGUGCAUGUGUAGUGAGAUGGACAACAUUUGGGACCUCUCCCUGUCGAAGAGUCGUGACAGCAAAAUCACUUCCUGAGGAAGGAGGAGCAAAAGGGAAGUUAAGAGGCCAUCCUGACCAGGAAGUGACUCGCCCUAAACUAACCCCAAUUAUAUCUACAAAUGGGGGGAUGGGGUGAGCCCCAACUGCUAAAGGCGGUAAAAUAACUGCUUUUUGAUAUGUCGCAACAUAACCACCACCCUCUCGCAAAAUUACAGAAAAAAGUCCACAGUCACGAUCCAAUAAAGGAAACGUCUGUUCCCUUGCAGGGAGGCCCCUGGGCUGUGCCUCUCAGGCCUGAGAGAAAAGGAGAGUCGAGGAACGAGGAACUGGGGCCACCGUGAGGCAGAGGAAAGCCCCGUAAGAGGGAAGCGUCCCGACUGCGGAGAGCGUAUGUCAGCAUGGACCAAGAAGCUUCUUUUUCCUGGGGACACUGCUAGGCUCCCAACGCAGCCGGGCCGGGCCCCAGUUCCCUGUCGGGGGAGGAGUGACUGUAUUUUUAAAUUCAUUGACACCCAAAUUCUAUGUGGCACUUACAGGGACCUCUUCAUUGAUAUCAGGACUAAUAUUUAUAUUUGAAUGGUGGUACUUCCAUAAGCAUGGCACAUCUUUUAUUGAGCAAGUAUCUGUAAGCCAUUUGCAACCACUGAUGGGAGGAACAGAGAGCAGCAUUUCAGAACCAGGUUCUCCUUCGAGGAACAGAGAAAAUGAAACCAGCAGACAGAAUUUGUCAGAAUGUAAGGUAUGGAGAAACCCUCUAAAUCUUUUCAGAGGAGCAGAAUAUAGGAGAUACACUUGGGUGACUGGUAAAGAGCCACUUACAUACUAUGACAUGAACCUGUCAGCUCAGGACCAUCAGACCUUUUUCACCUGUGACACAGAUUUUUUACGUCCUUCAGACACAGUUAUGCAGAAGGCUUGGAGGGAAAGAAAUCCUCCAGCUCGAAUCAAAGCAGCCUAUCAAGCUUUAGAAUUAAACAAUGACUGUGCCACUGCAUAUGUUCUACUGGCUGAGGAAGAAGCAACAACUAUUGUAGAUGCUGAAAGGUUAUUUAAACAGGCACUCAAGGCAGGAGAAACAAUUUAUAGGCAGUCACAGCAGUGCCAGCACCAAAGUCCUCAGCAUGAAGCUCAACUGAGGAGAGAUACCAAUGUACUGGUAUAUAUUAAAAGAAGAUUGGCAAUGUGUGCAAGAAAAUUAGGAAGAAUAAGAGAAGCAGUAAAAAUAAUGAGAGAUUUGAUGAAAGAAUUUCCUCCUCUUACCAUGUUGAACAUCCAUGAAAAUCUCUUAGAAUCACUUUUAGAAUUACAGGCCUAUGCAGAUGUUCAGGCAGUCCUAGCAAAAUAUGAUGAUAUAAGCCUUCCAAAGUCAGCAGCAAUCUGUUACACAGCAGCACUGUUGAAGACAAGGACUGUUUCAGAAAAAUUCUCUCCAGAAACAGCCUCCAGAAGAGGAUUAAGCACAGCAGAAAUUAAUGCCGUGGAAGCAAUUCAUAGAGCUGUGGAAUUUAAUCCUCAUGUUCCAAAAGUAGAAAUUUACCCAUUUUCCCCUCAACUAAAUAUCAAAGCAGUUGACAAUUCAGCUAUUUCAAAAUAUCCAGCUAAUAUUUAUUAGAGAUGAAAAGUUUAAUUUUACCUCCAGAACACAUUCUGAAACGGGGUGAUAGUGAAGCAAUUGCCUAUGCUUUCUUUCAUCUUCAGCACUGGAAACGAAUAGAAGGUGCUCUUAAUCUGUUAGAGUGUACAUGGGAAGGCACUUUUAGAAUGAUUCCAUACCCGUUAGAGAAAGGACAUCUAUUUUACCCUUAUCCCAGCUGCACAGAGACGGCUGAUAGAGAGCUAUUACCUACCUUUCAUCAUGUUUCUGUUUACCCAAAAAAGGAGCUUCCUUUGUUCAUCCAUUUCACAGCAGGAUUUUGCUCUUCUACAGCAAUGAUAGCCAUUCUCACUCACCAGUUUCCUGAAAUCAUGGGUAUUUUUGCUAAAGCUGUAAGUAUGAUCUCAAGGACUUGUGUAGAUUAUUUGUAAAACACACAAGAAACCAUCUCUGAUCUGCCUGUGCUAACCCAGCUGAACAAUGGAAGAUAUUUGUUGUAAAUUAAAGGAAUUGAUUUGUAUAUAGUUGCUGCCAUAAAUAUAUCAAACA